GUCAAAAUCCGUGACCCCGAAAAUAUUUGUUUCUUGGUUCUUGUUCUUACUCAGUUUCCUUCCCUCGUCCGCGGUUCACUUUAUUUUCAUUUGUGUUUUUCGCGUGUGCUACGAGAUCAGAUUGUUUGAGCCCGCUUCCUUUUUAUUUCAAAUUAUUCAUCCACUGAGCCCUUCCUCCUCGUUGACUUCUCUCGCCUUCCGGCUAGUUUUCACAUUUGGAGCGUUUAUUUUGUUUUUAUUUCAGCUGCCAGCUACCUGUUAACAUUCAUGAAAUCCGCCCUCUGAGCAUUAAUGUUCACGGUCCAAACAGGAAAUCGUUUUAUUAUUAAAUUUCAACAAUUAAUAUGAAUUCUCGAGAAAUCACGUUCAUAUUCCAAUUUGGCCUUAUACGAGACACUGUUACUGUCGAUACAUCGAAUUUAACUCUGAAAGUUCUCAAGGAACAUGCCUGUGAAUUUAUCAAUGCAAAGUGUCCCGAACACGGUGUUAACAGACUUAAUGAAAGGAUCCUUUUAUUCAGACAUGACUAUUCGAUCCCAAAUAUUUUACAAAUUAUCAACUGUGCUUCCGAUGUAAUUGAUGAAACUCUUGUUGAAAUUGUGCUUACAGCUCAAUGUUUAGUGGAGGAACAGCCAAUUAGACCACAUGCUCUUACUGUUCAUUCUUAUAAAACACCGACAUUUUGUGACUUCUGCGGUGAAAUGUUGUUUGGCUUGGUUCGCCAGGGGCUCAAAUGCGAAGGUUGUGGGCUGAAUUUCCAUAAAAGAUGUGUCGUACGAAUACCGAAUAAUUGUUCAAGAAGUUGUAUUGAGUCAAGAAAUAGGACCUCUUCAACAUUACAUGUUCCUCGCAGUGCUUCUGAGACAGGUUCCACUUCUUCCUUGUCAUCAGCAGCAGAUGAUUCAUUUAUGUCGAAUAAACCUGGCUCUGGAAAAACGAGCCGAUCCCCGUCUCUUAAUUCUAGAAGCACUUGGAACGACAAAGAAAAUAACGCGCAAAUUAAAAUCCCUCACACAUUUGUACUGCACAGUUACACGAGGCCGACUAUUUGCCAAAUUUGCAAAAAAUUACUCAAAGGACUGUUCAAACAAGGAGUACAAUGUAAAGAUUGCCACAUAAAUGUUCACAAAAAAUGUACUGAUAAAGUUGCCAAAGAUUGUACUGGUGAGAAUAAUCAACAAGGCGGUGAUUAUUCAGAUAGUGGAAUUAUUUCUGACAGUGGAAGGGAUGUUACUGAUGAAGAUAGCGAUAAUGAAAGAAAGUCACCCCUUUCAGAGUUAAUCACUGUCGAAAUCGGUGAUCACAAUGAAAACCCAGCUUUCCGAGAUCAAAUCGAUGGAAAUCAACAAUCUUCAUCUAGCAAUAAUAUCCCUCUAAUGAGAAUCGUUCAGUCAAUUAAGCACACCAAGCGCCGAGGUUCAAAAGUAAUUAAAGAAGGCUGGUUGGUCCAUUCUACAAACAAAGACUCUGGUAAAAAACGACACUAUUGGAGACUGGAUUCAAAGUCAAUUACUUUGUUUCAAAGCGAUACUGGAUCUAAGUAUUAUAAGGAGAUUCCUCUUGUUGAAAUAUUAGCGAUAAGUCCUGCUAAAAAGUGUGGUGAUCUUUUGCCAGAUCCUAAACAUUGUUUCGAAAUUAAAACAUCACAGGUCGACUAUUAUGUUGGUGAAGAGAUGAAUUACAGUUCUAAUGGAGACUGUGGAUCUCAUAUGGCAAAAUCAUGGGAAACUGCAAUUAGACAUGCUUUAAUGCCAGUUACUCCACCACCCUCAACAUCAGAAAAUGAGUCUGAAGAUCGUAUUACAGACAUGACUCAGCUUUAUCAGAUAUUCCCUGAUGAGGUGUUAGGCUCUGGACAGUUUGGCAUAGUCUAUGGCGGAAUUCACAGGAAAACGUCAAGGUCUGUAGCUGUUAAGGUUAUUGAUAAGCUGAGAUUUCCAACAAAACAAGAAGCUCAGUUGAAAAAUGAGGUUGCAAUUUUACAAAACCUGUCACAUCAAGGUGUUGUUAAUCUUGAGUGCAUGUUUGAAACGCCUGACAGAAUUUUUGUUAUUAUGGAGAAACUCAAAGGUGACAUGCUUGAAAUGAUUUUGUCCAGUGAACGUGCUCGACUGUCAGAAAGAAUAACUAAAUUUCUUAUAACACAAAUUUUAGUUGCAUUGAAACAUCUGCAUAGCAAAAACAUCGUUCAUUGUGAUCUCAAGCCUGAAAAUGUUUUGCUAAGUUCCAACUCUGAUUUUCCACAAGUGAAGCUUUGUGAUUUCGGCUUCGCUCGUAUAAUCGGCGAGAAAUCAUUUCGCCGUUCUGUCGUCGGUACACCGGCUUAUUUAGCUUAACUUCGUGUGUGAUGAAAACAUUUGAGUGAAUGGUGAAAAGCAGGCUGGAAUGGUGGUUGGAAUCAGAAAAGAAAUUACCAGACUUCCAGUAUGGGUUUUGUAAAGGAAAGUCCACACUGCAUAAUAUCACGAGCGCCCGAAGUGUUGAGGAACAAAGGUUACAACCGGUCACUCGACAUGUGGAGUGUCGGUGUUAUAGUUUAUGUCUCAUUAAGUG
rnacentral:misc_RNA from 1 species